rnacentral:lncRNA from 1 species
AAGAAAAAAAAGGAAACCUUCCAAUCCCAUUUUAUCUCUAUUACUUUCUACACCAAAAUUGGGUCCCACAACCCGGUUCUUUGUCUAGAGGAUAGCAGUUGAGUACUAGUGGUGGUCUCGGUUAGAAUUGGUAAGAAGAUAUCAAACCUUUUGAAAGCUUCAAAGGUAAUAUUUCCUAAAACCCUAAUUUGAUUAGUUUAAGGUCACAUGUUAAUUGUGGCAAUUAGGGUAGAAAUUCGAUUCUUUUUUCGCUAUGCAUGACUUAGUUCUAUCAUGUGGUAUUAGAGCAUGCUUCAUUUUUACCCAAUUGCAUGUGGUGGGUUCAUAUUUAUUAGAUAAAUUUUGGUUUGAACUAAAAUGGAUAUAUUAUGAUUUUGGCUCUAGAUUAAGUGUUUUUGUUAUAAUUAUUGUAAUUAGCCUUGUUAAUGGCUUAUUUUUAUUGUUGCAAAGUGUUUGUAAUCUUUUUUAAAAUAAAAAAAGUCAUUAGAGUUGAAGUUAGGCUGUAAUUGGUUCAACCGGCUGAGAGAAUUGAAAAAAAUGAAGAAAAGAAGGUCACAGACUCGAAAACCCGGCCUUGACCCGCUUCGCGACUCGCCCGCUCGCCCUUCUGCACCCGCGCCCGCCUGUGUCCCGCGACCGCCUGCACCCGCGCGCCUGCCGUGUGCGCCUCGGCUUGUUUAGUUAAUUGGGCCGGUUCAAGCCAAUAAAUUUGGUUUUUAGGCCUGUUCAAGAUGUUUCGGUUGGUUUUUUAGCCGGUUCGAAGUUUAUGGGAGUGGUUCUGUACUACACCAAAUUAAUUAUGUAAUAAUUUAGUACUUAGCUUAAUUUAGGAGCCAAAAAUCAGUCCAUUUUAGGGUGUUUUUUUUUAUUUAUGCAUGUGAUGUAUGAUUAAAUUACUUUAAAUUUGUAUGUGCAUUUUGAAUGUCAUAUAGAUUUAAAAUCCCACCAUAGGUUAACAUGUUCAUGCAUUAAAAUGUAUGAUAUAAAGUUAUAUUGUAUUGUAUGCAUGUUAAUUGAUUAAUAUGGAAAUUAAUUAAUAUAAUUAUUAAUUAAGUUAUUCUUGAUUAAAUAUGAUUUAAUCAAAUUAAUUAAUUAUGUUUGAUUUAAUUUAAUUAAAUAUGAUUUAAUUAAUUAAAAAUUAAAUUGAUAUAAUUAAAAUUAAAUAUGAUUUAAUUAAAGUUAAAUAAAUUAAAAUCCAUAUUAAUUGAUUGUUUUUAUAAUUAUAUAUUGAUAAAAUGAUUGAUUAAGUUUAAAAGUUUUUAUAAGUGUUAUAAAAUAAAUUAGACUUUUAAAAUCAAUAACAAAGAUUAAAUGCAUGCUCACUUAGGUUAAACAUAUCUUCCAUUUUUCAUAGAAAUAGGUCGAUAUCUUGUAAAACUGGUUUAAAAAGGCUCACCUGGUUCAAUCUUGUCAACAAGUCAGAUAAGAUGACUAAGGUUGGAGGUUCUUAAGUUGACGGUUUACGGAACACCUCCUACCUGGAGAUCGUAAUCAGUUCUUGAGCCUAGUUAACCUAGUUUUAUGAGCAUUCGUGAGAGGUGUGAGGUAAAAAAAUGGUUUAUCACCUAGACAUCAUAGGUUAAAAUCCUGUAUAAUGGUUAUACUUGGAUGUUUUAUCUAGACUUAAGAUUUGUUUAAGUUAGCCUAAAUAUAAAUCUUGAAGCUUGGAUUACCCCUUUUUUUUUUCUUUUAGAACACUUCAACUAGAGAAAAAUAAUGUAUUUUAGCUCUAGUGUCCCUAAGAGUUCACACCGUGAGGUCCAUGCAGGGCUUUGUGCCGUGCAUAGGAGCGGCCUCCCUUCGGAGAGUGUUUGCAUGGAUCAAAAUCAAGGUGAAUAGGGAAGUAGUUCAUAGUAAGUGGGUGAGGGAUUUGUGGCAGCACAUCCCACGGUCUCUUCCAUUAGGUCGCACCGUGAGAUUUCUAUAAUAUGCCUGCUUGUCUGCCCUGGAGCGACGUUCCCUUCGGAGGGUUGUAUUAUAGGAUUCGGAACACCGCGAACUCCAAAUCUGGAUAGGUUUUCUAGAUUAGUUUUCAUAAAUGAUUCUAAUCUAUGAAAUCUGAAAAUGGUGGGUAACACUUACAAGAAUUACUAAGUUGUUAGUAUAUUCUUGACUAAAGUAGCGAUAACUAAGUGCUAUAAAGAAUAAGAGUUAUUCUAGAGAUAGCAUCUAGUCAAGAUUGUCUUGGUUCAAAGGAGGAAUAAUCAACUACCCUUCGGAGAAGGUUGUUCUAAACCUUUGAAAUAUUGUUGCAAAAUACAAAUAAUGAAAGGGUACAUUAUUAGUAAUUGCUAAAUUAGAUUGGAUAUUUUUUAUGAUUAUAGUUUUUUCCUAAAAGAAUAUGUUUGUUUUUCAGCAUGAAUAGCUCAAUAGUUCAACUUUUAGCUUCCGAAAAACUUAAUGGCGAUAAUUAUGCGGCUUGGAAAUCAAAUCUUAACACAAUACUAGUGGUUGACGAUUUAAGAUUUGUCUUAACUGAGGAAUGUCCUCAAAACCCUG